rnacentral:rRNA from 1 species
AGGGAAUUGCCCCUAGUUACGGCGAGUGAAGCGGCAACAGCUCAAAUUUGAAAGCUGGCCUUCGGGUCCGCAUUGUAAUUUGUAGAGGAUGCUUUGGGUGAAACGCCAGUCUAAGUUCCUUGGAACAGGACGUCAUAGAGGGUGAGAAUCCCGUAUGUGACUGGAAAUGUUAACCUAUGUAAAGCUCCUUCGACGAGUCGAGUUGUUUGGGAAUGCAGCUCUAAAUGGGAGGUAAAUUUCUUCUAAAGCUAAAAUAUUGGCGAGAGACCGAUAGCGCACAAGUAGAGUGAUCGAAAGAUGAAAAGCACUUUGGAAAGAGAGUUAAAAAGCACGUGAAAUUGUUGAAAGGGAAGCGCUUGCAAUCAGACUUGUUUAAACUGUUCGGCCGGUCUUCUGACCGGUUUACUCAGUUUGGACAGGCCAGCAUCCAGUUUCGCGCGGCCGAGAUAAGAGGCUCUGGGAAUGUGGCCUUCACUUCGGUGAAGGUGUUAUAGCCCAGGGUGUAAUACGGCCAGCCUGGACUGAGGUCACCCCCGCGCUUUCGGCUAGGUGCUGGAUA